rnacentral:rRNA from 1 species
UAACUUAGUACGGCGAGUGAAGCGGCAAAAGCUCAAAUUUGAAAUCUGGUACCUUCGGUGCCCGAGUUGUAAUUUGGAGAGGGCAACUUUGGGGCCGUUCCUUGUCUAUGUUCCUUGGAACAGGACGUCAUAGAGGGUGAGAAUCCCGUGUGGCGAGGAGUGCGGUUCUUUGUAAAGUGCCUUCGAAGAGUCGAGUUGUUUGGGAAUGCAGCUCUAAGUGGGUGGUAAAUUCCAUCUAAAGCUAAAUAUUGGCGAGAGACCGAUAGCGAACAAGUACAGUGAUGGAAAGAUGAAAAGAACUUUGAAAAGAGAGUGAAAAAGUACGUGAAAUUGUUGAAAGGGAAGGGCAUUUGAUCAGACAUGGUGUUUUGUGCCCUCUGCUCCUUGUGGGUAGGGGAAUCUCGCAUUUCACUGGGCCAGCAUCAGUUUUGGUGGCAGGAUAAAUCCAUAGGAAUGUAGCUUGCCUCGGUAAGUAUUAUAGCCUGUGGGAAUACUGCCAGCUGGGACUGAGGACUGCGACGUAAGUCAAGGAUGCUGGCAUAAUGGUUAUAUGCCGCCCGUCUUAACAACCGGGACCACA